GGCCCCUAGUUGGGCUCAUAAUUUCUUCAUUUAGACUUGGUUUAUUGGGCCACCAUUUCCAUUUCUCUUAUAAUGACAGAAACCAGGCCCUGCCUUCUUUCUUGUCUUGCCAGCACCCAAUUUCCCAUUCUGGAGCUUGCUUGCUUUUCUGCCACUAAGAUCUCCUUCUGCCCUGCAUUAUUUGUAGUUGAUAUGGUAGUUGCAUUAACAACAGCGUCUCUUUUUUUUUCAUAAUAAAUACACCAAUUAUGCUACAAUCUGAGGCCGAGACAAGAAUGCUUUAGCAUGGAAAGUUGAUGGGUAUAUGUAUAAUAUGUCAUUCUUUAGCUCCAAGGUCGCUCUAUCAUUUUACAUUAUUUUGAUUUUGCCAUCUUUCCUACGAAGAAUAUGAGAGGGGCAACCUUGGAGGAAAUUAAAGCAUCUUAAGAUUGACACAAGAGCUAGCAUAAGAGAGAAUCUCACACUCAAAUCAUUGAGCUUGACUUGAUGCUAAACAAGUGCUGGAGCAAAAGAUACACAACAAAAUGAAAGGCCAAUUUGAAGCAAUUAAUGCAGCAUAUGAAAGGGGAUGGGAUGAACAAGGAACAAGUAUAAGGAAGGCAAAAUUAAUGAAGAAUUAAAGGUUGCCCGAAUGGUUUUAAUCACUUUUAAGUAUAUGUUACAUUCUUCCUUUUCUUAGGAUAUAUUACUAUUUUUUUGGUCUUGCCUUGUUAAUGUAGCAUGCAUAAAACUUUGGGUCACUUAUCGUAGUUCAUCUUCAAGCUAGAAGGAAAUAUAUCCCAUCAGUUACUGAAAGAAAGAACCAUGCAGGGCCAGGGGUGCAUGAGGUUAAAGUAACACUGAUAUACAUGUACACGCACAGAAAACUACUUGCAUGAAUUGCUUAAAUAGUUGUGGAUAAUUGAGUGAGAUAGGAGGUUUAGAAAAUGCAUAUGUCCGUGAAUUUUCAUUUGGAGCGCAUAAACAUGAUUCUUGGUCAUGCAUGGAAUCUGAACAUAGCAUACAUGUAUGUUGUAUUUGGAGUUUGUUUCAGAGUUUGAAAGAUUUUGUCACCCACACAGCUGCUUCUAUUGGUGGACCUUCCAAAUUGCAGCCAAGACAAAACAGUCUGAAGGCAGCAGAGCAAUGUUCAUUCACAGACAAUGAUGGAAAUUUCAAGGUAUUUUAUGUUUUGCUGGCAAAACAAUUCCAAAUACCCACUCCUCACUUUUGUUCAAGGUGUAAAAACAAAGAAAGGAAAGAAUAUCGGCUGCUGUCACAACUCACCAGCGCCGUUUCAGAGAUGAAUUGAGUACAUACCAAGUAGAAGGUUCAUGGUACCUGAACUAUGGGAUUUCAAGCAAGGCAACGUUGAAUUUACUGAACAAAUUUUAUGUUAGAAGGAUAACAUUAUCUGCAUAAAUGAAACAUUUUAGAUAAUAAUAAGAAAAAAGUUUUGAAAGAAAACUCAGAUCGAGAGGCAAUUUCUAGGCCCAAUGAUUAGAACUUUACAUGUCAUUGAAGAAAAGAAAUGGAUAAAAUGAUGUAACUUAAAAUUGCUAAAAAUGAUAGAUUAAAUAUAAAAUUCUUUUAAAACAUAAUAAUUUAGGCAUUGUAAACCAAUGUGUAAGAUGAAAAAUGAAUUGCAAGGUUCUUAUCUUUAUUAAACCAUGUUACCAUCUCAUUAUCACAGCACAAAUAAUUAAAGGAAUUAUUAAUGUGAAAGUAAUUUUUAACCAAAGGGAGCCCACAUAAAUAAAGCUUAAACCAAGAUUUAGAAGAAAAAAGAACCCAAAGCCUUUGCCUUAUUUCUAGGUUCAAAAGACGAGAGAAUCCAAUGAUCUUUUCCUCUCAAAACCAACAAGAAGAAGAAGGGUGUAUUUUGCUAUUUGUCUGCCCUUCAUAUAUUUUAUCCUAUAAAUUAUUUUACCCAACAUAUUUUAUAUAUUGUAAAAGUUUUAGAACAUUUUAUAAACCAACCCCAUUAGGGCAUAUAUAUAAUAGGCCCACACCCCAUUUCCUCGAGCUUUGGUUCUACCAAGAUUUGCAAAUGCAUUGGACACUUGACUGAUGUGACCUCCAAAUAUGAACU